UGCAAGUCGAACGGUGAAGCCCAGCUUGCUGGGUGGAUCAGUGGCGAACGGGUGAGUAACACGUGAGCAACCUGCCCCGGACUCUGGGAUAAGCGCUGGAAACGGCGUCUAAUACUGGAUACGAACCACAGUCGCAUGGCUAGUGGUUGGAAAGAUUUUUCGGUCUGGGAUGGGCUCGCGGCCUAUCAGCUUGUUGGUGAGGUAAUGGCUCACCAAGGCGUCGACGGGUAGCCGGCCUGAGAGGGUGACCGGCCACACUGGGACUGAGACACGGCCCAGACUCCUACGGGAGGCAGCAGUGGGGAAUAUUGCACAAUGGGCGCAAGCCUGAUGCAGCAACGCCGCGUGAGGGACGACGGCCUUCGGGUUGUAAACCUCUUUUAGCAAGGAAGAAGCGAAAGUGACGGUACUUGCAGAAAAAGCGCCGGCUAACUACGUGCCAGCAGCCGCGGUAAUACGUAGGGCGCAAGCGUUAUCCGGAAUUAUUGGGCGUAAAGAGCUCGUAGGCGGUUUGUCGCGUCUGCUGUGAAAACCCGAGGCUCAACCUCGGGCCUGCAGUGGGUACGGGCAGACUAGAGUGCGGUAGGGGAGAUUGGAAUUCCUGGUGUAGCGGUGGAAUGCGCAGAUAUCAGGAGGAACACCGAUGGCGAAGGCAGAUCUCUGGGCCGUAACUGACGCUGAGGAGCGAAAGGGUGGGGAGCA
rnacentral:rRNA from 1 species